GACGAACGCUGGCGGCGUGCCUAAUACAUGCAAGUCGAACGCAGUGGGGACGGGUGAGUAACACGUGGGUAACCUCCCAUCAGAGGGGAUAACACUUGGAAACAGGUGCUAAACCGAUACUGAUGGAUGGACCCGCGGUGCAUUAGCUAGUUGGUGAGGUAACGGCGCACCAAGGCCACGAGGCCUAGCCGACCUGAGAGGGUGUUCUGCAACACUGGGACUGAGAGACGGCCCAGACUCCUCCGGGAGGAAGCGGUGGGGUAUCUUCGGCAAUGGACGAAAGUCUGACCGAGCAACGCCGCGUGAGUGAAGAAGGUUUUCGGAUCGUAAAACUCUGGUGUUAGAGAAGCGGUAUCUAACCAGAAAGCCACGGCUAACUACGUGCCAGCCGCCGCGGUAAUUC
rnacentral:rRNA from 1 species